GACGAACGCUGGCGGCGUGCUUAACACAUGCAAGUCGAACGGAAAGGCCCUGCUUGCGGGGUACUCGAGUGGCGAACGGGUGAGUAACACGUGGGUGAUCUGCCCUGCACUUCGGGAUAAGCCUGGGAAACUGGGUCUAAUACCGGAGAGAAGCCAUCCUGAGUGUGAGGGGUGGAAAGUUUUUUGGGUUUGGGAUGAGCGGGCGGCCGAUCAUCUUGUUGGUGGGGUAGGGGCGGCCAAGGACGGCACGGGUAGGCAGCCGGAGAGGGUGGACGGGCAAAUUUGGACUUAGAUACGGGCCAGACUCCCACGGGAGGGAGCAGUGGGGGAUAUUGCCACAAGGGGGCGAGCCUGAUUCAGGGACGCCGGGUGGGGGAUGAAGGCCUUUGGGUUGUAAACUCCUUUCGGUAGGGACGAAGCUUUUUGUGACGGUAACUAGAUAAGAAGCACCGGCUAACUACGUG
rnacentral:rRNA from 1 species